GACGAACGCUGGCGGCGUGCUUAACACAUGCAAGUCGAACGGAGUGGCGAACGGGUGAGUAACACGUGGGUGAUCUGCCUUGCACUUCGGGAUAAGCUUGGGAAACUUGGUCUAAUCCCCGCUAGUGCAAUAUGGGCUCUCGGCCUAUCAGCUUGUUGGUGGGGUAAUGGCCUACCAAGGCGUCGACGGGUAGCCGGCCUGAGAGGGUGGACGGCCACAUUGGGACUGAGAUACGCGCCAGACGCCUACGGGGGGCAGCAGGGGGGAAUAUUGCACAAUGGGCGGAAGCGUGAUGCAGCGACGCCGCGUGGGGGAUGAAGGCCUUCGGGUUGUAAACUCCUUUCGACAGGGACGCGGUACCUGAAGAAGAAGCACCGGCUAACUACGUGCCAGCAGCCGCGGUAAUUG
rnacentral:rRNA from 1 species